rnacentral:rRNA from 1 species
UACGGAGGGGGCUAGCGUUGUUCGGAAUUACUGGGCGUAAAGCGCGCGUAGGCGGAUCUGCAAGUCGGGGGUGAAAUCCCGAGGCUCAACCUCGGAACUGCCUUCGAUACUGCGGGUCUCGAGUCCGGGAGAGGUGAGUGGAAUUCCUAGUGUAGAGGUGAAAUUCGUAGAUAUUAGGAGGAACACCAGUGGCGAAGGCGGCUCACUGGCCCGUUACUGACGCUGAGGCGCGAAAGCGUGGGGAGCAAACAGG